CGCCGGAUCUACUCUGCACCAACCUCACCAAUCUGCCUCACUCUCACCAAAUCAACACCUCCAAACUCCCACCACUCGCCCGGACUUAUUCUCCCCCAUGAACGAAUCGAACGUUCCCUGAACCGUGACGUCAGCGCCGGAGUCGAAGUUGAACGGCGAAGUUGUACUCAUCUAGAAUGUUCAAUUUGAAGGUUAGGGCAUCAGCAAGCUGGUGAAGAAGCAUAUCAAGAUGAGUUUUCUUUGUCUUCAGUUAGACAUUAAAUUUGG
rnacentral:lncRNA from 1 species